GGUGCCAGAAGGCAGUCUUAUUCUUAAUAUGCAUUUUAUUAUAAAUAAAGUUUAUAUAUAUACAUUUAUUUUAAAUAAAGUUUCAGUGUGACAAAAGAAGUAGCACUGGAAUAUAAAAUUUUCUUUUUAAUUCUCAGCAAGGCAAGUUACUUCUAUAGAAGGGUGCACCCUUACAGAUGAAGCAAUGGUGAUUCAAAUGAGUCAGGGUGGAGCCAGUGAUUGAAUUGAGUCAUGGUGGAGCAGGUAAUCGAAAAAGGUUGCUUUAUGAGGAAGUUAAGUUUAAAAGUACAAGGCAAAGAUUUGAACAUACUGACAUAUUGAUUCUUUGAAAUGAAAUUUAGAACUCAUAUCUGACAUUACCCAAUCCACUCCCGACAUUAGAAAAAGCUCCAAAAGUUAUAUUCUGGCCCUCAAACUCCACAACAGGACUUAAUUAAACUUGCCUUCAAGGUAUACAAUAAUAGAGAAGAGGCAGUGAAGCGGCAACAUAUUUCUGAGUUGAAAUUACUUGCCUCCGCUGUGAGAGAAACCCCAGCCACAUCUCCAGCACACAAGAACUUCAGAAUGCCUAAACCGCAGCAGCCAGGUGUUCCUCCAGGGCCUCCUCCCCCAGGAUCUUGCUUCAAGUGCCAGAAAUCUGGCCACUAGGCCAAGGAAUGCCUGCAGCCCAUGAUUCUUCCUAAGUCGUGUCCCAUCUGGGCGGGACGCCACUGGAAAUUGGAUGGUCCAACUUGUCUGGCAGCCACUCCCAGAGCCCCUGGAACUCUGGCCCAAGGCUCUCUGAUUGACUCCUUCCCAGAUCUUCUUGGCUUAGCAGCUGAAGACUGAUGCAGCCCAAUUGCCUUGGAAGCACCCUGGACCACUAUAGAUGCUUCAGUGGAGGGGUACUCCUGCAGAAGAGGCUGCAUCUCUGCCCAUUGAGCACCCACCAGCAUGGGCUGCAAGUGGAAGCUUCUCCCACUUCUUCAGUGGCCGCAACCCCACCAAAGGUGAGGAUGUGCUGGAGGAGGGAGCUUUUUGCACUUCUCUGUUGCUCUGGCCCUCACUGAGGAUGAGCACUCACAGAAUAAGAGCCUACCCACUGGCUCUUACUCUUAAGCGCUAUCUACUGGACUAAUUAAUGAAUUACACCACCAAACAAAAGUGUAACACUGCAAUAAGCAACAUCUGAAAAAGCCACCAAAUGGACCUAUCUGCAACUGAGGAACCCAUACAGAGACUUCGCCCUCUGAAAACAUCCAGAAAUGAAGACAACUGAUCAUACGCAACAUAAAUCACACUCAUACUUUCAAGGAAAAGAAUAAUAAAAGAAAAGCCUCAUCCAAUGAUAUUCAAAAAAAUAAAAAAAGAAGCAGCAGAUCCUUCAGAUAAGAACCAGCACAAGAAUUCCAGCAAUACAAAAAGCCAGUGUUUCGUCACACCCAAAGGCGCCUAAGAAUCCUAACCAGAAUGAAAUGCCUGAAAUGACAGAUGUAGAAUUCAGAAUAUGGCUGACAAGAAAACUCAACAAGAUCUAACAGAAAGUUGAUAUCUAACAAAAAGAAAAUAGAAAAAAAUAAUCCAGGAUUUGAAAUAUGAUAUAGCUAUACUAAAACAAACAAACAAAACAGAAUUUCUGGAAUUGGAAAAUUUACUAUAGGAAUUUCAAAAUAAAAAUUGGAAGCCUUACCAACAGACUAGAUAAAGCAGAAGAAUUUCAAAGAUCAAAUACUGGUCCUUCAAAUCAACCCAGUGAAACAAAAAUAAAGAAAAAAAUAAUUUUAGAAAAUGAACAAAGCCUUUAGGAAGUAGAGGAUUAUGUAAAGUGACAAAAUCUACAACAUAUUGGCAUUCCUGAAGAGAAGAAGAGAAAGUAACUUGGAAAACAUGCUUGAGGAUGUAAUUCAGUAACAUUUCAUCAAGUCCUCGAAAGCAAACGCAACAAAAACAAAAGUUGACAAUUGGGAUCUAACUAAAGAACUUCUGCAGAGCAACAGAGACUAUCAACAGCAUAAACUGACAACCUACAGAAUGGGAGAAAAUACUUGCAAAUUCUGCCUCUGACAAAGGACUAAUAUCCAGAAGCUAUAGGGAACUUAAACCAAUCAACAACAAAAACCCAUUAAAAGUAGGCAAAGGACAUGAACAGACACUGCUCAAAAGAAGACAUACAAGUGGCCAAAAAGCAUGAAAAAACACUUAACGUCAUAAAUUAUCAGAGAGAGGCAAAUCAAAACCACAAUGAGAUGCUAUCUCACACCAGUGGGAAUGGCAUCACUAAAAAGUCAAAAAACAACAGACAUUAGUGAGGGUGCAAAGAAAAGGGAACAUUUAUACACUGUUGGUGGGAAUGCUAAUUAGUUUAGUCCCUGUGGAAAGUAGGAGAUUUCUCAAAGAACCAAAAAUAGAAUUACCAUUCAACCCAGAAAUCCAAUUACUGGGUACAUACCAAAAGGAAAAUAAAUAAUUCUACCAAAAAGACAAAUGCUCUCACAUGUUUAUCACAGCACUGUUUCACAAUUCCAAAGACAUGGAAUCAACCUAGGUACCCAUCACUGGUGGACUGGGUAAAGAAAAUAUGGUACAUAUACACCAUGGAAUACUACACAGCCAUGAAAAAGAAUGAAAUAAUGUCAUUUGCAGCAACAUAGAUGCAGCUGGAGGGCAUUAUCCUAAGUGAAUUAAUGCAAAACAGAAAAUCAAACACUGCAUUUUCUCCCUUGGAUGAGAUUUGCAUAUUUGGCCAUCAUUAAGCAAGCUCACUAACAACCUAGGGAAAGUCAUUGCAAGCCAGUAUUCAAUGGGAGUACCAUGGUUGACAGUGUCAUGAUUAAAAAUGUAACCAUAAUUAAAUAGUACUAGAGAAAUGUAGAUGCAAGAAAAUCUACAUUAAGUAUACCUUCCAAAGAGCAAUAGCAUUGCAAAGUAAUAACAGUGUUGUACCAUUUCCUUGUGUUGAAGCAUAUGAAAUAUCCAGGCAUGGCAUAUUUGAAAUUAAACAUAAGUGGAAUAUAUUACAAUAAAGAAAACAAAGAGGUGGCUCCUGGACCUCAACAGAAAGAGAUGCUGUUGUGAAAUUAUGCAGACACUUCAUGUGCAUAGAUUACAAAAGAAAUAGUACAUAUGCACCUUUCCUCUACUCAUUAUCUAAUUUUUCAUAGAUAAAUAAAUCACUGUAUCACCCAUAAGCCCAUGAAUGGUAUAAUACAUUUUUGUUUUAGUCAGUCAAAAUUAAUUUAGCUGUAAUUAUGUUUAUCAUAUGUAUACGUUCCAAACUUUUAUGCUCUGCUUCCUCUUAAAUGCUUUGCCACAUAGAAAUUUAUUCUGCCAGAUACCCUAAAUAAUCUCUCUCAGGUUCAAAGUAACACAGAUCUCUAGGGCAAGGGCAAAAUGCUACCAGUCUCUUUGCAUAGCAAGAGUGACCUUUACUCCAGUUUCCAAUAAGUUAUUCAUUUCCAUCUGAGACCACCUCAGCCUGGACUUCAUUGUCCAUAUCACUAUCAGCAUUUUGAUCAGAGCUAUUCAACAAGUCUCUAGGAAGUUCCAAACAUUCCCACAUCUUCUUGUCUUCUGAGCCCUCCAAGUCUCUAGGAAGGUCCAAGCUUUCCCACAUUUUCCUGUCUUCUUCUGAAAGACAGAAGCCCUCCAAAUUGUUCCAACCUUUGUCUGUUAUCCAGUUCCAAAGUCGCUUCCACAUUUUGUGUAUCCUUACAGCAACACCCACUGUCUCCUAGUACCUGUUUACUGUAUUAGUCCAUUCUCAUGCUUCUAUAAAGAACUGCCUGAGACUGGGUAAUUUACAAAGGAAAGAGGUUUAAUUGACUAACAGCUCCACAGGGGUGGGGAGGCCUCAGUAAACUUACAAUCAUGGAGGAAAGGGAAGCAAACACAUCCUUCUUCAAAUAGCAGCAGGAAGGAGAAGUACCAAGCAAAGGGGAAAAAGCUCCAUAUAAAACCGUCAGAUUUCAUGAGAACUCACUCACUAUCAUGAGAACAGCAUGGGGGUCACUGCCCCCAUGAUUCAGUUACCUCCCACUGGGUCACUCCCAUGACAUGUUGGGAUUAUGGGAACUAAAAUUCAAGAUGAGAUUUGGGUGGGGACACCGCCAAAUCAUAUCAAUGUGCGAAUGGUGGAAAAGUAGAGGAACAAUUCAUGAAAAAGUCCAAGUUAUAUUCUGAAGAGGGAGUACUGUGUAUGCUUACAUUAGAAUAAGUAGUACAAACUCUAACUGAAUUUAAAUAUCUUGAUGUGGUCUGGAGCAGUUAGUGAAAGUCUCAGGAGACAGUAGAAGUCUCAAGAAAGGGUAUUAUAUAACAUUUAAAAAAUUAUGUUUCUGAAUAUCUACAAAGAUUAUUUUAUUAAUGGAAUUUGGCCUUCUGGGUAUCUUUGUUAUUCCUUAUGCUUCAUAAAUUCUCUAUCAUAUUUGAUAGUUUUGUUCAAUCCCACCACUAAAAGUUUAUCUCCUAGCUUUAGUAACGGUGUAUUAUUUUGUACUUCUCCUUCUUUGGCAUCUAUCAUCCUAGUUUUCAGAUCUAACCUGUAAGAGUUCUGUUUCUAUUUUGGUUUUCUUCUUUAUUCAUUUCUCGCUUCAGUAAUCUCAUCCUUUCUUUCUUUCUGAUGAUCAUCACUUCCAGGCAGAUGACUACUGUGUGUAUAUUUAUUUACUUAUUGUUUUGUUUGUGAUAUAAUUUGGAUCUGUGUCCCCACCCACAUCUCAUGUUUGAUUGUAAUUCUCAAUGUUGUAGGUGGGGGCUGGUAGGAGGUGAUUGGAUCAUGGGGGCAAACUUCUCAUGAUCAGUUUAGUACCAUACCUCUUGGUACUGUCCUCAUGAUAGUGAGUGAGUUCUCAUGAGAUCUGGUCAUUUAAAAAGUAUGUAGCUCCUCCUCCUCACUCUCUUGCUCCUGCUUUCACCAUGUGGUAUGCUUGCUCUUGCUUCGCCUUCCACCAUGAGUAAAAACUCCCUGAGGUUUCCCCAAGAAGAUGCUGGUGCCAUGAUUCCUGUACAGCCUCCACAGCUAAAAGCCAAUUAAACCUAUUUUCUUUAUAAAUUACCCAGUCAGAUUUUUUUAUAACUCUGAGAGAAUGGACUAACACAGUUUGUUGGGUAAUUUUUGUUGUUGUUUUUAAUUUUUUUCUUAAAAUUUUAUUUUUUUUAAAGUUCAAUAGUUUUAGGGACAAGAGUGGUUUUUGGUUACAUAGAUGAAUUGUAUAAGUGAGAGCAUGAGGUAUCUGGUUUUUGAUUCCUGAGUUACUUCACCUAAAAUAAUGACCUCCAGUUCCAUUCAAGUUGCUGCAGAUGACAUUAUUUCAUUCUUUUUUAUGGCUGAGUAGUAUCCCAU
rnacentral:lncRNA from 1 species